GACGAACGCUGGCGGCGUGCUUAACACAUGCAAGUCGAACGGAAAGGCCCUGCUUUUGUGGGGUGCUCGAGUUGCGAACGGGUGAGUAACACGUGAGUAACCUGCCCUUGACUUUGGGAUAACUUCAGGAAACUGGGGCUAAUACCGGAUAGGAGCUCCUGCUGCAUGGUGGGGGUUGGAAAGUUUCGGCGGUUGGGGAUGGACUCGCGGCUUAUCAGCUUGUUGGUGGGGUAGUGGCUUACCAAGGCUUUGACGCGUAGCCGGCCUGAGAGGGUGACCGUCCACAUUGGGACUGGGAUGAGGCCCAGACUCCUACGGGAGGCAGCAGUGGGGAAUAUUGCACAAUGGGCGGAAGCCUGAUGCAGCCACGCCGCGUGCGGGAUGACGGCCUUCGGGUUGUAAACCGCUUCCGCCUGUGACGAAGCGUGAGUGACGGUAAUGGGUAAAGAAGCACCGGCUAACUACGUG
rnacentral:rRNA from 1 species